AAUGCGGAAAUUAAAGGUUAAAUGUUAAUGUGAAAAUUAAAGGUUAGAGGUUAGAUGUUAAAUGUUAGAUGUUAGAAGUCAAAGUGACAUAAUAGAAUUAAAAUCAACAUCAACUAUUAAAUCUAAAACAAAUUCUAAAGUAAAACAAAACUCUAAAAUUAAAUCAAAACAAUUAUCAUCAAACAAUUCUCAAAAGUAAAUUCUAAACAAUUAUCACAAUUAAGUCCUAAAACCAUUAUCAAAAUUAUUUUAAACACAAUUAAAUCUAAUUAAAUUCUAAACAAUUAGCAAUUCUAAUUAGAUCCUAAACAAUUAACAAUCAAUUAACAUUCUAAUUAUUAUUAUCAACUAGUAAUGUCUAAAAUUAUCCAUUAAGCCAUCCUAAAUCUAAACUUUAAAACAAUUAAGUUAACCUACAUCUAACCUCCAAAAAACUAGGGCCAGGAAUUAACAGGCCAUCAUGGGCCCGAGGUGAAGAAGCCCAAACACAAUGGGAGGUGCAUUCGGUCCACCAGGGGGUGUGAAGACGAAACCGGCGUUGGGCCUCAGGCCCAAAACAAUCAACACCACACCUCGCAAGCCAAACUAACAACGAAAAUACGCAGAAGGAAAACAAUGAACUAGUGGCCAUCACUCUCACGUACCUUCCUGGCUCCACGACUGUUCGACGGACGCCAAAACUCCGAUCCCGGCGCGGCGAUUCUUUCUCUCACUCAGCAGCGUCAAAAAAAUCCUCUCGGUGACCUCGCGAACCAAUGCGGAAUUCGAUUCGGAUUCUUCACUUUGUAUUACCGUGGCGACUUCAUCCUCAAGCGCGGCGACUCGGUUGUUCGAUCGUACGCCGUCGAUACUGAGUCAAAUCCAAGAUCGUCGCACUCUAUUGUUGUUGUUGUUCGAUCGAGCUGAAGCUGCUUCCGAUUGAGGAGGAUGAACAAUAUAGUUGGUGAAGAUGAGAGAGGCGUCGCGAUUGGUGAAGAUGAGCGAUGUGACGCGUUGGUGAAGAAGAGCGAUGCAACUAAGAUCCGGUGAUUGAAGCGGCGUGAAGAACGAAGAGUGAACGCGACCGAAUUUUCAAAAGAUUUUUGGAAGCGCUUAGUUUAGAUUUGGAGCUGCGGCUUGCAAGUUGUGUUGUCGUUUGAAGUGUUGGCUUACUGGCGUUGUUUUCACAUAUGGCUUGUUUGCAUUGCAGUUUGCGUUUCGUUCUGCUGUUUUGAAUUGCAGUUUGCGUUUCGUUCUGCUGUUUUGAAUUGCAGCUUCACAUAGCAACAACUUUUAGCUCAGCCUGUGUACUUUGGUUAAAAAUGGAUAAUAUGGAUUAAUUUGGACUUAAAUUGGAUAAGGGUUAAAUGGGGUUUAAUGGAUUAAAUGGAAUUGGAAAUUGGAUUUA